GAAAUGCGAUAAGUAAUGUGAAUUGCAGAAUUCAGUGAAUCAUCGAAUCUUUGAACGCACAUUGCGCUCGCCAGUAUUCUGGCGAGCAUGCCUGUUCGAGCGUCAUUUCAACCAUCAAGCUCUGCUUGCGUUGGGGAUCCGCGGCUGCCCGCGGUCCCUCAAAAACAGUGGCGGGCUCGCUAGUCACACCGAGCGUAGUAACUCUACAUCGCUAUGGUCGUGCGGCGGUUUCUUGCCGUAAAACCCCCAAUUUCUAAGGUUGACCUCGGAUCAGGUAGGAAUACCCGCUGAACUUAAGC
rnacentral:misc_RNA from 1 species